UACAGAGGUCCCAAGCGUUGUUCGGAUUCAUUGGGCGUAAAGGGUGCGUAGGCGGCGCGGUAAGUCGGGUGUGAAAUCUCGGAGCUUAACUCCGAAACUGCAUUCGAUACUGCCGUGCUUGAGGACUGGAGAGGAGACUGGAAUUUACGGUGUAGCGGUGAAAUGCGUAGAUAUCAGGAGGAACACCGAUUGCGAAGGCAGCUCGCUGGGACGUAACUGACGCUGAGACGCGAAAGCGUGGGGGAGCAAACAGG
rnacentral:rRNA from 1 species